UUCGCCCUUAGAGUUUGAUCCUGGCUCAGGAUGAACGCUGGCGGCGUGCUUAACACAUGCAAGUCGAACGGGGGUCAUUUUGCGGAAGUCUUCGGACGGAAGUGAUUUGACUCGAGUGGCGGACGGGUGAGUAACACGUGAGCAACCUGCCUUUUGCUGGGGAAUAACUGUGGGAAACCAUGGCUAAUACCGCAUGUUGUGCCAACUGGGCAUCCGGUUGGUAUGAAAGGAGAAAUCCGGCAGAAGAUGGGCUCGCGUCCGAUUAGAUAGUUGGUGAGGUAACGGCUCACCAAGUCAGCGAUCGGUAGCCGGACUGAGAGGUUGAACGGCCACAUUGGGACUGAGACACGGCCCAGACUCCUACGGGAGGCAGCAGUGGGGAAUAUUGCACAAUGGGCGAAAGCCUGAUGCAGCAACGCCGCGUGAGGGAAGACGGUCUUCGGAUUGUAAACCUUUAACUUUGGGGAAGAAAGAAAUGACGGUACCCAAAGGAGCAGCCACGGCUAACUACGUGCCAGCAGCCGCGGUAACACGUAGGUGGCAAGCGUUGUCCGGAAUUACUGGGUGUAAAGGGAGCGCAGGCGGGGAGACAAGUCGGCUGUGAAAUGCACAGGCUUAACCUGUGAAUUGCAGUUGAAACUGUUUUUCUUGAGUGGAGUAGAGGUAGGCGGAAUUCCGAGUGUAGCGGUGAAAUGCGUAGAUAUUCGGAGGAACACCAGUGGCGAAGGCGGCCUACUGGGCUCUAACUGACGCUGAGGCUCGAAAGUGUGGGGAGCAAACAGGAUUAGAUACCCUGGUAGUCCACACUGUAAACGACGCAUUACUAGGUGUGGGGGGGUCUGACCCCUUCCGUGCCGGAGGUAACGCAAUAAGCAAUCCACCUGGGGAGUGCGGCCGCAAGGGUGAAAUUCAAAAGAAUUGACGGGGACCCGCACAAGCAGUGGAUUAUGUGGUUUAAUUUGACGCAACGCGAAGAACCUUACCAGGUCUUGACAUCCGACUAACGAAUCAGAGAGGAAUUAGGUGCCCUUCGGGGAAAGAUGAGACAGGUGGUGCAUGGUUGUCGUCAGCUCGUGUCGUGAGAUGUUGGGUUAAGUCCCGCAACGAGCGCAACCCCUCCCAUUAGUUGCUACGCAAGAGCACUCUAAUGGGACCGCUACCGACAAGGUGGAGGAAGGUGGGGAGGACGUCAAAUCAUCAUGCCCCUUAUGACCUGGGGUACACACGUAAUACAAUGGUCGUUAACAACGGGAAGCGAAGCCGCGAGGCGGAGCAAAACCCCAAAAACGGUCUCAGUUCGGAUUGCAGGCUGCAACUCGCCUGCAUGAAGUAGGAAUUGCUAGUAAUCGCAGAUCAGCAUGCUGCGGUGAAUAAAAAACCGGGUCUUGUACACACCGCCCGUCA
rnacentral:rRNA from 1 species